GUGUGCAUCAUUUGGGGAUCUUGUUAGAAAACAGAUUCUGAGUCUGUAGGUCUGGGUGGAACCUGAGAGCCUGGAUUUCUAACAAGUUCCCAAGUGAUACCUAU
rnacentral:pre_miRNA from 1 species